UGGGGAAUUUUGCGCAAUGGGGGAAACCCUGACGCAGCAACGCCGCGUGAGUGAUGAAGGCCUUCGGGUCGUAAAGCUCUGACAGAGGGGAAGAAGUGAACUGGUGCUAAUAUCAUUGGUUCUUGACGGUACCCUCAAAGGAAGCACCGGCUAACUCCGUGCCAGCAGCCGCGGUAAUACGGAGGGUGCGAGCGUUGUUCGGAAUUAUUGGGCGUAAAGCGCGUGUAGGCGGCUUGCCAAGUCCGAUGUGAAAGCCCCGGGCUCAACCCGGGAAGUGCAUUGGAAACUGGCAGGCUUGAAUACGGGAGAGGGUAGUGGAAUUCCUGGUGUAGGAGUGAAAUCCGUAGAUAUCAGGAGGAACACCGGUGGCGAAGGCGGCUGCCUGGACCGAUAUUGACGCUGAGACGCGAAAGCGUGGGGAGCAA
rnacentral:rRNA from 1 species